rnacentral:rRNA from 1 species
AACGAACGCUGGCGGCAUCCCUAACACAUGCAAGUCGAACGAGAUCUUCGGGUCUAGUGGCGCACGGGUGCGUAACGCGUGGGAAUCUGCCCUUUGGUUCGGAAUAACAGUUGGAAACGACUGCUAAUACCGGAUGAUGACGAAAGUCCAAAGAUUUAUCGCCAGAGGAUGAGCCCGCGUAGGAUUGGCUAGUUGGUGUGGUAAAGGGGCACCAAGGCGACGAUCCUUAGCUGGUCUGAGAGGAUGAUCAGCCACACUGGGACUGAGACACGGCCCAGACUCCUACGGGAGGCAGCAGUGGGGAAUAUUGGACAAUGGGCGAAAGCCUGAUCCAGCAAUGCCGCGUGAGUGAUGAAGGCCUUAGGGUUGUAAAGCUCUUUUACCCGGGAUGAUAAUGACAGUACCGGGAGAAUAAGCUCCGGCUAACUCCGUGCCAGCCGCCGCAGUAA